UUUCGGAAACGCUAUGAUAGAGUGGUAUAUUUAGAAACGCUACGAAAACUUAGAAUUUAAUAGCAAAACAUAAUAAAAUGUUAUGUUUGCCUUUCGAACCCCUAAACCUUAAACACGUUUUUAAACCCUAAACUCUAAAUACAAAACUUAACUCUAAUAUUUUAACAUCAAAACUUAAAUUUAGAUCCAAAUCUUAAAUAUAAACUGAAAAAUCAAUCUUUAAAAAAAAAUUAAUCUCAAAUCUUAAAUUCAAUACCUCCAAACUC
rnacentral:lncRNA from 1 species